rnacentral:rRNA from 1 species
UGGGGAAUAUUGGACAAUGGGCGAAAGCCUGAUCCAGCAAUGCCGCGUGAGUGAUGAAGGCCUUAGGGUUGUAAAGCUCUUUUACCAGGGAUGAUAAUGACAGUACCUGGAGAAUAAGCUCCGGCUAACUCCGUGCCAGCAGCCGCGGUAAUACGGAGGGAGCUAGCGUUGUUCGGAAUUACUGGGCGUAAAGCGCACGUAGGCGGCUUUUCAAGUCAGGGGUGAAAUCCCGGGGCUCAACCCCGGAACUGCCCUUGAAACUGGAUGGCUAGAAUACUGGAGAGGUGAGUGGAAUUCCGAGUGUAGAGGUGAAAUUCGUAGAUAUUCGGAAGAACACCAGUGGCGAAGGCGACUCACUGGACAGUUAUUGACGCUGAGGUGCGAAAGCGUGGGGAGCAAACAGGAUUAGAUACCCCCGUAGUCC